GUCGUCAGAGUGGUUUUGAUAUGUAAAACUCCUCUCCAUAUCACAGCCAGCUUUGAUGAGUA
rnacentral:pre_miRNA from 1 species